rnacentral:rRNA from 1 species
UACAGAGGUCCCAAGCGUUGUUCGGAUUCACUGGGCGUAAAGGGCGCGUAGGUGGCGGGACAAGCGUGCGGUGAAAGCCUGGGGCUCAACCCCGGGUCGGCCGUGCGAACUGUUUUGCUUGAGCACUGUAGAGGCAGGCGGAAUUCCGGGUGUAGCGGUGGAAUGCGUAGAGAUCCGGAAGAACACCGGUGGCGAAGGCGGCCUGCUGGGCAGUAGCUGACACUGAGGCGCGACAGCGUGGGGAGCAAACAGG